UCCCCGUUAACCGGGGCUGUCCCCCUAGAGUUCCCGGCAUGACCCGCUGGCAACAUGCGACGGGGGUUGCGCUCGUUGCGGGACUUAACCCAACAUCUCACGACACGAGCUGACGACAGCCAUGCACCACCUGUAUACCGACCACAAGGGGGGCCACAUCUCUGCAGCUUUCCGGUAUAUGUCAAACCCAGGUAAGGUUCUUCGCGUUGCAUCGAAUUAAUCCACAUGCUCCGCCGCUUGUGCGGGCCCCCGUCAAUUCCUUUGAGUUUCGGUCUUGCGACCGUACUCCCCAGGCGGGGUGCUUAAUGCGUUAGCUUCGGCACGGAUGGAGUCGACACCACCCACACCUAGCACCCAUCGUUUACGGCGUGGACUAC
rnacentral:misc_RNA from 1 species